AACGAACGCUGGCGGCAGGCCUAACACAUGCAAGUCGAGCGAAGCCUUCGGGCUUAGCGGCGGACGGGUGAGUAACGCGUGGGAACGUGCCCUUUGGUACGGAAUAGCCCCGGGAAACUGGGAGUAAUACCGUAUGUGGUCGAGAGACGAAAGAUUUAUCGCCAAAGGAUCGGCCCGCGUUGGAUUAGGUAGUUGGUGGGGUAAUGGCCUACCAAGCCGACGAUCCAUAGCUGGUUUGAGAGGCUGAUCAGCCACACUGGGACUGAGACACGGCCCAGACUCCUACGGGAGGCAGCAGUGAGGAAUCUUAGACAAUGGGGGAAACCCUGAUCUAGCCAUGCCGCGUGAUCGAUGAAGGCCUUAGGGUUGUGAAGAUCUUUCAGUGGGGAAGAUAAUGACUGUAUCCACAGAAGAAGCCCCGGCUAACUCCGUGCCAGCCGCCGCAGUAACAC
rnacentral:rRNA from 1 species